rnacentral:rRNA from 1 species
UACAGAGGUCCCAAGCGUUGUUCGGAUUCACUGGGCGUAAAGGGUGCGUAGGCAGUCGGGUAAGUCUGACGUGAAAUCUUCAAGCUCAACUUGGAAACUGCGUCGGAUACUAUUCGGCUAGAGGAAUGGAGGGGAGACUGGAAUACUUGGUGUAGCAGUGAAAUGCGUAGAUAUCAAGUGGAACACCAGUGGCGAAGGCGAGUCUCUGGACAUUUCCUGACGCUGAGGCACGAAAGCCAGGGGAGCAAACGGG